rnacentral:rRNA from 1 species
GACGAACGCUGGCGGCGUGCUUAACACAUGCAAGUCGAACGGAAAGGCCCUGCUUUUGUGGGGUGCUCGAGUGGCGAACGGGUGAGUAACACGUGAGUAACCUGCCCUUGACUUUGGGAUAACUUCAGGAAACUGGGGCUAAUACCGGAUAGGAGCUCCUGCUGCAUGGUGGGGGUUGGAAAGUUUCGGCGGUUGGGGAUGGACUCGCGGCUUAUCAGCUUGUUGGUGGGGUAGUGGCUUACCAAGGCUUCGACGGAUAGCCGGCCUGAGAGGGUGACCGGGCAAAUGGGGACUGGGAUACGGCCCAGACUCCUACGGGGGGCAGCAGGGGGGAAUAUUGCAAAAUGGGGCGAAGGCAGAUGCAGCAACGCCGGGUGCGGGAAAAAGGCCUUCGAGUUAUAAACAGAUUUCGCCGGUGACGAAGCGUGAGUGACGGUAAUGGAUAAAGAAGCACCGGCUAACUACGUG